AUGGCAUCUCCGUCGGAUACGCAGUCUGCAACUUGUGGCGGCGGGGACAGCGGUGACGGCGGCGCUAAGGCUGAUCUAGGUGAUUUCUUUGGUCAGUUGGAUUUGAACGAUGAAGCUUUCGAUGAUGUAGUGAUCGAUGAGGAAGACCCGGUUCUGAAGGAGAGUGUGCGUUGGUUAGCUCUUGCUAGGGUUCUUACAGGAAAAUCUUUUAGCCAAGCAGCGUUUUACAGAGAUAUGAGGGCUGCGUGGAACUCAGCCAAGCAGAUUCGUUUCCGUCCAGUUGGCCCUAACUUGUUUGUCGUUCAGGCUGCGUGUUUAGGCGAUUGGGAGAGGAUCAUGGAGUACGGUCCUUGGUUGUUCAGGAAUUGGGCAGUUUUGCUUAGUCCAUAUGAUGGCUUUACUCAAGCGGAGGAGGUUAGCAUUGUACAUCUUCCAAUCUGGCUG
rnacentral:rRNA from 1 species